rnacentral:pre_miRNA from 1 species
GAUUUCAAUUGAAAAAGUCAUCAACAACAAAGUUGAAUAACUCAUCAAGAUCUAAAACUUUUAUUUUUGUUAUUUCUUCAUCUGACGAAAUGUUAGUAAUAUUAUUCACAAAUUUUACAUAUAUGUAUUAUAGUUUAUAAAACCAGAUAAGAGAUAUGUCAAUUUUGUGAACAAUGUUACUAUCACUUUGUCGUAUGAAGAAAUGACCAAAAUAAAAGUUUUAGAUCUUGAUGAGUUAUUCAACUUUGUUGUUGAUGACUUUUUCAGUUGAUAUC